rnacentral:rRNA from 1 species
UACGAAGGGGGCUAGCGUUGCUCGGAAUUACUGGGCGUAAAGGGCGCGUAGGCGGCCAGAUUAGUCAGGCGUGAAAGCCCUGGGCUCAACCUGGGGACUGCGCUUGAUACGGUUUGGCUUGAGGACGGAAGAGGCUCGCGGAAUUCCCAGUGUAGAGGUGAAAUUCGUAGAUAUUGGGAAGAACACCGGUGGCGAAGGCGGCGAGCUGGUCCGUUACUGACGCUGAGGCGCGACAGCGUGGGGAGCAAACAGG